UACGUAGGUGGCAAGCGUUGUCCGGAUUUACUGGGCGUAAAGCGCGCGCAGGCGGGCUGGUCAGUCUGGGGUGAAAUCUCACGGCUCAACCGUGAGAGGUCCCUGGAUACUGCUAGCCUUGAGGGGCUCAGAGGAGAGUGGAAUUCCGGGUGUAGUGGUGGAAUGCGUAGAUAUCAGGAAGAACACCCGUGGCGAAGGCGGCUCUCUGGGACGGUACUGACGCUGAGACGCGAAAGCGUGGGGAGCGAACAGG
rnacentral:rRNA from 1 species